GACAGAGGGUGCAAACGUUGUUCGGAAUUACUGGGCGUAAAGCGCGUGUAGGCGGUCUCGCAAGUCGGAUGUGAAAGCCCAGGGCUCUACCCUGGAAGUGCACUCGAUACUGCGAGGCUAGAGUCCCGGAGAGGAUGGUGGAACUCUCGGUGUAGAGGUGAAAUUCGUAGAUAUCGAGAAGAACACCGGUGGCGAAGGCGGCCAUCUGGACGGUGACUGACGCUGAGACGCGAAAGCGUGGGGAGCAAACAGG
rnacentral:rRNA from 1 species